rnacentral:rRNA from 1 species
CAACAGCUCAAAAUUUGAAAGCCCGCGGGCGGUUGUAAUUUGCAGGCGGAUGUUUUGGGGCGGGCGCUGUCUACGUUCCUUGGAACAGGACGCCGCAGAGGGUGAGAGCCCCGUGCGAUGGCGCCUCUAACCGCGUAAAACUCCGCCGACGAGUCGAGUUGUUUGGGAAUGCAGCUCCAAGUGGGUGGUAAAUUCCAUCUAAAGCUAAAUACUGGCGAGAGACCGAUAGCGAACAAGUACAGUGAUGGAAAGAUGAAAAGCACUUUGAAAAGAGAGUGAAACAGCACGUGAAAUUGUUGAAAGGGAAGGGUAUGCGAUUAGCGGCCAGCAGGAGGUGCUUUCUCGUGAAAAGGCCGUGCACCGUCUUCGGACACCGUGCGCGGAGAUGGCGAGGGGGCGCCUGAGGUCUGCGUACUCUAGUGUUGCUGGCGUAAUGAUUGCAUACCACCCGUCUUGAA